rnacentral:rRNA from 1 species
CCUACGGGUGGCAGCAGUAGGGAAUCUUCCGCAAUGGACGAAAGUCUGACGGAGCAACGCCGCGUGAGCGAAGAAGGUCUUCGGAUUGUAAAGCUCUGUUGUUAGGGAAGAAGAGGUGCCGUUCGAACAGGGCGGUACCGUGACGGUACCUAACGAGAAAGCCACGGCUAACUACGUGCCAGCAGCCGCGGUAAUACGUAGGUGGCAAGCGUUGUCCGGAAUUAUUGGGCGUAAAGCGCGCGCAGGCGGUCUCUUAAGUCUGAUGUGAAAGCCCACGGCUCAACCGUGGAGGGUCAUUGGAAACUGGGAGACUUGAGUGCAGAAGAGGAGAGCGGAAUUCCACGUGUAGCGGUGAAAUGCGUAGAGAUGUGGAGGAACACCAGUGGCGAAGGCGGCUCUCUGGUCUGUAACUGACGCUGAGGCGCGAAAGCGUGGGGAGCAAACAGGAUUAGAUACCCCAGUAGUC